rnacentral:ncRNA from 1 species
UGAGUAGGCUCGGAGGGCAAUUUACCAAAAACACGGGGCUCCGCAAAGUUGUAAGACCAUGUGUGGGGCUGGCUCCUGCCCAGUGUCGAAUGGUCAAGAAAGAUGGUGAACUGAUGACAGGGCAGCCGGCAAUCGAAGCCCAUGUAACUAUAACGGUCCUAAGGUAGCAAAAUUCUUGUGAGAUAGGUUCCGACCCACACGAAAGGCGUAAAGAUGUGGGC